CCUACGGGUGGCAGCAGUGAGGAAUAUUGGUCAAUGGACGAGAGCCUGAACCAGCCAAGUAGCGUGAAGGAUGACUGCCCUAUGGGUUGUAAACUUCUUUUAUAUGGGAAUAAAAUGUUCCACGUGUGGGAUUUUGUAUGUACCAUAUGAAUAAGGAUCGGCUAACUCCGUGCCAGCAGCCGCGGUAAUACGGAGGAUCCGAGCGUUAUCCGGAUUUAUUGGGUUUAAAGGGAGCGUAGGUGGGUUGUUAAGUCAGUUGUGAAAGUUUGCGGCUCAACCGUAAAAUUGCAGUUGAUACUGGCAGUCUUGAGUACAGUAGAGGUGGGCGGAAUUCGUGGUGUAGCGGUGAAAUGCUUAGAUAUCACGAAGAACUCCGAUUGCGAAGGCAGCUCACUGGACUGCAACUGACACUGAGGCUCGAAAGUGUGGGUAUCAAACAGGAUUAGAUACCCUUGUAGUC
rnacentral:rRNA from 1 species